rnacentral:tRNA from 1 species
GUCUCUGUGGCGCAUCGGUUAGCGCGUUCGGCUGUUAACCGGAAAGUUGGUGGUUCGAGCCCACCCAGGGACG